GGGGUGUAUAGCUCAGCGGUAGAGCAUUCGACUGCAGAUCAGGAGGUCCCCGGUUCAAACCCGGGUGUCCCUU
rnacentral:tRNA from 1 species